AUGUGUAUUGACUCUUCUUUGAAGCAAAUAAGAGGUAUAACAGAAUAUUUUGAGAAGUACAGAGAUGAUGGGUUUUCUUCAAGUUUGACCAUCGCCAAAGGUAUUGCGACUGAAAUGGGAAUUGAUCCUGUGUUUCCAAUGAAACAUCGUGCUACGAGGAAGAGACAAUGUUUUGUUUUGGUUGAUAUGGCGGUCACUUCUUUGAAGGAUAGAUUUAAAGAACUAAUAGUGUUCAAAGAUAUCUUUGGAUUUUUAUUGAGCCCAGGCACCCUGAAGUCAUUAAGUGAUAAUGAACUUGAAGAGUGUUGCACAAAAUUUGCAGAAACAUUCUCUCUUGAUGGUUCAUCUGAUGUAGAGGUAUAUGAUCUUAUUUCUGAAUUGAAGAUUAUGAGAUUCACUUUGCCAAAUGGUGCAAUGUCUGCCAUGGAGAUUUUUGGGCAUGUUAGAGAAGUUGAUUGUGAUCCGAAUAUCUCCAUUGCUUAUCGCAUCUUAUUUACUGUGCCUGUGACGGUCGCAUCAGCCGAGAGAAGCUUUUCAAAGCUGAAAUUGUUGAAGAAUUAUUUGAGGUCAAUAAUGACUCAAGAGAGGUUAAAUGGUUUGGCUACAUUAUGCAUCGAGAAGAAAUUAUUGGAUGAGAUUGACAUUGAUCCCAUCAUAAGCAACUUUGCAUCGAGGAAUGUUAGAAGAAAUUUUUAA
rnacentral:rRNA from 1 species